rnacentral:rRNA from 1 species
AUGCCGCAGAGAAAUUGCCGCCCUCUGCCGGGGAAGAAACCCAACCCCCAGGAGGGGAAAUCUGCUACCGCUGUCGUGGGCGCUGUCGGGAAAUCAGGUCAGCAGGGGGCGAUCAAAUCCAACCAGGGGGCCGAAGCCCAAGUGGUUCCUCCGGCAGCUGCAACCCCACCGCCUCCUCCACCUCCCCCAGUGGUACAGCCUCUUGAUCCAAAGUACAAAGAUAUGAUCUGCUUCAAUUGCAGUUGGCCUGGUCACUAUGUGGGGAAUUGUGUGGAGCCAAAAAACUGUUUUAUCUGCGGGAACCACAAUGUCAACAAUUGCGCUGCCUGGGUGAAACCGCAACCUGCUGCCACUUAUUUUGGUAGUGCUGCUUCCGGACUGGGCUUUUAUCAUAUUGAAGUUCCUAUGGCGGCCGAAUCCAGUUGGCUUAACUACAAAAAUUGCGAUGUUCUUAAGGUGGUCAAGGGGGAGGUUUUUGCCUCAGAUCUGCUAAGACAACUGAAUGGGAUCUUUUGUAAGAACAAGAAAUGACCAUGGCAAAUAAGAGAGCUGGAAAACAAGAAAUUCCUGUUGAGAUUUCCACCUUGGAAGAAUGUGGAUGACCUAAUUGAAUUCCCUCCUUUUGAACUGCCUAUUGCUGGAGUGUCUGUCAAGAUUUGUGAAUGGGAAGGUGUUGGAAAUAUGCCCUAG